rnacentral:rRNA from 1 species
AUGGAUGAACUUAUGAAAUUGUUUGCUACUAAGAGUGCUCCUAUUGAUCCUAAUGAUAUGCCUUUGUCUACUUUGAUUGAGAAUAAUAAUGAAUGUAUGGAUGUGAAUUUUGUUGGUAGGAAUAAUUUUUGUAACUAUGCUUAUAGAGGAAACUUUAAUCCUAGACCGUUCCCUAGUAAUUCCUCUAAUAAUUAUGGAAAUUCCUACAAUAAUUCUUAUGGAAAUUUUAAUAAGAUUCCCUCUGAUUUUGAGAAUAGUGUUAAAGAAUUUAUGAUCUCUCAAAAGAAUUUUAAUGCUUUGCUUGAAGAAAAAUUGCUUAAAGUUUAUGAUUUGGCUAGGAACAUUGAUAGGCUUUCGCUUGAUGUUGAUUCUUUGAAACUUAGAUCUACUCCUCCUAAGCAUGAUAUCAAUGAGUCUCUCAAAGCUAUGAGAAUUUCCAUUAAUGAGUGCAAAGAAAGAACUGCUAGGUUGCGUGCUAAGAAAGAAUGCUUUGUAAAAGCGUGUUCUUCUAGUUUCCAUGAAAAUAAUGGUGAAGAUCUAAAAGUUAUUGAAGUGUACCCUAUUAAAUCUUUGUUUUGCAAUAUGAAUCUUAAUAAUGAUGGGACUGGAGAUGAGUCAACUUUAGUUAAAAGACGUCCCAAUGAUUCAGAGUUUUUAGAUCUUGAUGCUAAAUUUGGUAAAAGUGGGAUUGGAGAGGUCAAGACUUUAAAUAGCAUUGAACCCACUAUUAUGGAUUUCAAGGAAUUUAAUUAUGAUAAUUUUUCUUUAAUAGAUUGUAUUUCCUUUUUGCAAUCCGUGUUGAAUUCUCCUCAUGCUUAUAGUCAAAAUAAAGCUUUUACCAAACAUAUUGUCGAUGCCUUGAUGCAAUCUUAUGAUGAAAAACUUAAUUUGGAAGUUUCUAUACCUAGAGAACUUUAUGAUGAGUGGGAACCUACUAUAAAGAUUAAAAUUAAAGAUCAUGAGUGUUAUGCUUUGUGUGAUUUGGGUGCUAGUGUUUCCACGAUUCCGAAAACUUUAUGUGAUAUUCUAGGUUACCAUGUUGAUGAUUGCUCUUUAAAUUUGCACCUUGCGGAUUCCACCAUUAAUAAACCUAUGGGAAGGAUCAAUGAUGUUCUUAUUGUUGCAAAUAGGAAUUAUGUGCCCGUAGAUUUUAUUGUUCUUUACAUAGAUUGCAAUCUUUCUUGUCCUAUUAUUCUCGGUAGACCUUUCCUUAGAACGAUUGGUGCAAUUAUUGAUAUGAAGGAAGCGAAUAUUAGAUUCCAAUUUCCAUUAAGGAAAGGCAUGGAACAAUUUCCAAGAAAUAAAGUUAAAUUACCUUAUGAAUCUAUCAUGCGAGCAACUUAUGAAUUGAGUGCCAAAGAUGGCACUACUUAG